rnacentral:rRNA from 1 species
GGUCCUACGGGAGGCAGCAGUGGGGAAUAUUGGGCAAUGGGCGCAAGCCUGACCCAGCAACGCCGCGUGAAGGAAGCAGGCUUUCGGGUUGUAAACUUCUUUUCUCAGGGACGAAGCAAGUGACGGUACCUGAGGAAUAAGCCACGGCUAACUACGUGCCAGCAGCCGCGGUAAUACGUAGGUGGCAAGCGUUAUCCGGAUUUACUGGGUGUAAAGGGUGCGUAGGCGGCCUGCUAAGUCUGGAGUGAAAGGUACCGGCUCAACCGGUACAGGCUCUGGAAACUGGCGGGCUAGAGAGCAGGAGG